GGAAUAAUACGGAGUGGAAAUAGAAUUUUACUGAUGUGGAAUGACAUGGACGUAUUAUUAGGUGGGGCCUACUUGACACACCUCUCUUUGGAAUAUUAAAAUCGCGUUUCGUGAAAACAGCAUCGGUCGAGCGACAAAAGAUUUUUGUCUCCUCGACUUCCUUGCUGAUCAGCAUUCACAUGCGUCCAAAAAUGAAUAAUGCUUCCUCCAAUGGCGGAGAAUGGACAGGGAGUAUGGGCACACUGUAUUUUCUGCAGAGGAUAAACUCAAGAAUGGGGAAGAUACUGACGUAACAAUUUCAAACAAUUCGCCGAAAAGAUAGGCUUUCUCUCUCUAGACUCUGCCUAGUAAUUAUCACGUACUAUUUGCCCUUGUAUAAAUGACGUCUUCCUCGUCUUUGCUGCCUCGAUUUAUCAGCCGAAGGAAAAGGAAUUUAAAUAACAAUUUUCCGUCUUCUUCUUCUGGUUCGUGUUCGUGGUCUAAUUCGGAGUCAUUUAAUCAGUGCCGACGACAGAACUGGGGUUUUAUUAGCUUUUCUGGUAAAUUAUUGUUCUUUCUCUG
rnacentral:lncRNA from 1 species